rnacentral:tRNA from 1 species
GUAAGUAUAGUUUAACCAAAACAUUAGAUUGUGAUUCUAAAGACGGGAGUUAAAAUCUCCUUACUCACC